rnacentral:rRNA from 1 species
AGCGAACGCUGGCGGCAGGCCUAACACAUGCAAGUCGAACGAACUCUUCGGAGUUAGUGGCGGACGGGUGAGUAACACGUGGGAACGUGCCUUUUGGUUCGGAAUAACUCAGGGAAACUUGUGCUAAUACCGAAUGUGCCCUUCGGGGGAAAGAUUUAUCGCCAUUAGAGCGGCCCGCGUCUGAUUAGCUAGUUGGUGAGGUAACGGCUCGCCAAGGCGACGAUCAGUAGCUGGUCUGAGAGGAUGACCAGCCACACUGGGACUGAGACACGGCCCAGACUCCUACGGGAGGCAGCAGUGGGGAAUCUUGCGCAAUGGGCGAAAGCCUGACGCAGCCAUGCCGCGUGAAUGAUGAAGGUCUUAGGAUUGUAAAAUUCUUUCACCGGGGACGAUAAUGACGGUACCCGGAGAAGGAGCCCCGGCUAACUUCGUG